ensembl:lncRNA
AUGACUGAUCUUACAUGGGGGUUUGUUUCUCCCUCUAUACAGAGAACCUGUGGAGUACAUACUUACACAAAGGGGAUGUUUUGGAGAAAAGAUCCCUCCACACCUCUAAAGUUGCACACCCAGCCUCUGAUCACUAUCCAUACGUGUUUGCCGAUAUCACCACCUCCUUCACAGUGCUCGUGGGCAUCUUCUUCCCCUCAGUCACAGGUGUUUGGCCACGGGAAAGAUGACUGGGAACCUACGUGGGCCCUGCUGCUGACAGUUCUGAUAGCUGGAGGGGGGGGGCACAGAGUCAGCCCCAUCCCUCACCCCACCCCAGUCCAAGCAAACUUUAGAUGAUCUCUCACAUGAAUUUUCAUUUCUGCCCCCCACCAUCCCACCUUGUGUGUGUGGGUGUGGUGUGGGUGUGGUGUGGUGUGGUGUGGUCGACAGCCCAAAAGGACGAAGGCAAGGAAGGCAGCAGGUCCGGAUAGAAUCUGCUCCAGACUGCUGCAGGACUGUACAGAACAGCUUUGUCAGGUGAUCCUGUACAUCUUACAUAUUUCUCUCAUGUUUCAUCUUGUGUCAGUACCAAAGAAUAUUUCCUAAUAGUCAUAGUUUGUGUGUGCGUGUGUGUGUUCUUAUAUAUCAGAGAGUGAGUGUGUUUGGACACGCCUUCUCAUUCAAUGGUUUUCUUCUUCAUGACGAUUUACAUUGUAGAAAUAUUCACCUUUUAUGGCUGCACUGGUUUGCCAGCUGAAACAUGUAGAUGCAUAAUUUUUUACAGCCUUUAAGAUCGAAUUCAUGUUGGGGUUGAAUCACAGAUUUUUACAUAUAAAAUAAACAGUUAAUACUUCUAGUCUCUUGACUAAAGAGAUUCUACUGUGAUGAUUAAGCCUAUGAGCAGGAGGUGUCUCUCUCUGCACUUCAGAGUACACCAGAGUUUUGUGUUGAGGCCUCUGGUGGAUUGAAUUCUUUAAACAUGAAAACAGAAAGAAGGAACCUGCUUUAAAUCCCUUCGGGUACUCGCACUUCCUCCGGCAGUUCAAAGAAUUGCGUGUAAUGUUAAUUCUGAACUGGAUGAAGUUCUUAAAGUGCAUAAACUGAACCACUGCGUGAAUAUCCGGUCUUUAGGUCUGACGUCACUAGCCGUGUCUGGGCUUAAACUCCGCUGCAGGUCCAUAUAUCAAACGAUCACUGAGGCAUUACUGAGAGUUGAAAAACUUUCUAAAGUCUUUCAUUUUUAAUAAAAUGAUCAGUGUUCUGCUCUACCAGGUGUAGCAAUUGAGUUUAACAUCCAGGCAUCCAUGAAAAUGGAAUUUAUGAUAUUUAACGGAGUUAGAAGUUAGCAGGAAGUUAGCUCGCUAGCUUCCAUCUAAAUACAAUAUAGCAUGUCCUGACUGCGGGAUUAUGGAAACAAAUUCAAACGUACAGCUCUGCUAUCACUUCUGACAUAAAUGAAGACAGAAAACUAAACAGCAGUGACUUUUGUAGGGGUACUGAAGUUUGGCCAGCUGGUAUAUAACGAUGUGCUACGUGACCGCUAGCGACGCAGCUAUGUGAGCAUAAUAUAAACAAGCUAACUUUUUCCCGCUCGAUAAAAGUUAACGUGAAGAUUCUCGGCGGUCAGGAACAAAUGUAAUCGCAUGGCAGGAUGCCGUAAACGGACCAAACUUCAGCCAGGAGAACAACUGAGAUAAUCCAUCCACAUUAGUCAUUCAUAUACUGCUGCACGGGCUGGGCUGUAGUUGCAUCGUAAGGUUUUAAAAACUGAGCUUAAUUAAAUGAUUAGCAGUAAUAAAAGCCGAGGGAGGUCAACAGUGAUCACUGACUGUUUUAGGAGCUUUUUGAGAUUAAAUAGAAGAAAAUACAAAACAUUAAACACGUUAACAACACAAAAGCCAUAUUAAACGCAGACUACUUUAGGCCCGGAAGUAGGAUUCGUCACGUCAUCACUUAAAGACCGGAUAAGGUUAAAUGUGGACCUGAGAUCUCAAUAAAAUAUAAAUUCCAGUCUGUUUUCCACUAAUCUCUACAACAGCUGUUUUCUCACCUCUUCUGAGCAUGUCCAUGUACCUCUUCUCUGCACGACAGUGACAUCAUAUACCUGUGAGGACGCUGAUGAUGGAGCAAAGGUCUCAGAUGCUGAGACAGAUGCGACUGUCUAAAUCUGAUCGGCACAGAGAGGUAGGUGUGGAAAGCUUACAGCGGGGUUUCGUGUGGUGUGAAAAAUGCCUGUAGGUUUGCGUAGGGUUGAUUAGGAGUUGUGUUUGAAACUUUAUGCAAGCUGGGUCUUAACAAGCAUUUGUUCACCACUUUCACCAGGAGAGCCCUAGCAGUAGCAGCAACAAUGGUAGGCCAGAGGCAGGCGUUGCUACAAGGUUUCAGG